AUUGAACGCUAGCGGGAUGCCUUACACAUGCAAGUCGAACGGCAGCACGGACUUCGGUCUGGUGGCGAGUGGCGCACGGGUGAGUAAUGUAUCGGAACGUGCCCAGUAGCGGGGGAUAACUACGCGAAAGCGUAGCUACUACCGCAUACGCCCUACGGGGGAAACCAGGGGAUCGCAAGACCUUUCACUAUUUGAGCGGCCGAUAUCGGAGUAGCUAGCUGGUGGGGUGACGGCUCACCAAGGCGACGAUCCGUAGCUGGAUUGAGAGGACGACCGGCCACACUGGGAGUGAGACACGGCCCAGACUCCUGCGGGAGGCAGCAGUGGGGAAUGUUGGGCAAUGGGGGAAACCCUGAUCCAGCCAGCCGGAGUGUGAGAUAGAGGCGUUCGGGUUGUAAAGCACUUUUGGCAGGAAAGAACCGUCGCGGGUUGAUACCUAGCGAAAGUGACGGUACCUGCUGAAUAAGCACCGGCUAACUACGUG
rnacentral:rRNA from 1 species